UAGAUUGAAGUCCGUUUGGUUUGGACGGCUAGUUGUUAAUUAGUGUUUUGUGGGAUCGAGGCCCGCCAGUCUAG
rnacentral:tRNA from 1 species